rnacentral:rRNA from 1 species
AACGUAGGGGGCGAGCGUUGUCCGGAAUUACUGGGCGUAAAGGGCGCGUAGGCGGUGAGGUAAGUCUCAAGGUGAAAACUAUCGGCUCAACCGGAAGCGUGCCUGAGAAACUGCCUGACUUGAGUGCAGGAGAGGGGAGUGGAAUUCCCAGUGUAGCGGUGAAAUGCGUAGAUAUUGGGAGGAACACCAGUGGCGAAGGCGGCUCUCUGGCCUGUAACUGACGCUGAGGCGCGAAAGCGUGGGUAGCGAACGGG